rnacentral:rRNA from 1 species
AACUAACGCUGGCGGCGUGCCUAACACAUGCAAGUCGUACGAGAAAGCCGGCUUCGGCUGGUGAGUAAAGUGGCGCACGGGUGAGUAACGCGUGGAAAUCUGCCCUUAAGUGUGGAAUAACGUACCGAAAGGUGCGCUAAUACCGCAUAAUGCCUGGCAACACAAGUUGUCCGGCCAAAGAAGGCCUCUGUUUACAAGCUUUCGCUUCAGGAUGAGUCCGCGUACCAUUAGCUUGUUGGUGGGGUAAUGGCCUACCAAGGCUGCGAUGGUUAGCUGGUCUGAGAGGAUGAUCAGCCACACUGGAACUGAGACACGGUCCAGACUCCUACGGGAGGCAGCAGUGAGGAAUAUUGCGCAAUGGGGGCAACCCUGACGCAGCAACGCCGCGUGAGUGAGGAAGGUUUUCGGACUGUAAAGCUCUGUCGAGCGGGAAGAAGUGUACCAUGGCUAAUAUCCAUGAUAUUUGACGGUACCGCUAGAGG